CGCUCUCGGCGUGCCGGGGGCUCCUUCCUCAGCCGGCCGGGUGGUUUUUUCUCUUCCUUUUACGCCACCCUCCCUGCCUCUCCCAGGUUAGGCUCCUAGGCACUUCCAAGUUUCUCUCUACACCCCCCAAGGAGUAGAAACUCGCUUUUCUUACAAGCUGACACCCUUACGUAUGUGCACAGCUCUUGAAGGCUCAGUAACACUGGUGCUGAUGGCACAGUGUGGUGGGGUUCAAAGCCGUGGCUGCUUUGUUGGUGCAGUGCCAGACUCCACAGCAGCAGUCCCUCGUGUGCCCGCUGGACACAGCUGUGUGUCCCAGCCUACACUGCUCUCCUGACCCCCCACUCAGCACAUCUCCCUGCCAAGAAGCUCUUCCUGAUCUUUGGCCUACAUUUUCUUCACUUAACCCUGCGAGGAGUCUGACUUGUCUGCAACUUGUGCAUGGCUCUUCAUCCUCCAUGGGCUGCCGUCACACACUGCCUUAAUGCCUGACAGGCCAGCCUGGCCACACAAGGAUGUCCAAGCCAUAGCUGAGCUCUGAGCUCGGGCAGUGCCACCACUUCUCCUUCCUGCACCCUUCUAGACCCGGCAUCCUGGCACUAGGGUCUGAGGAGGGAGUCACCUGCCUGGCAUUCCUCCCUGGGACCAGCCUUCUCUGGGAACCUGCCAUUCUGUCAGCCCCAUGGCAAAGCCGUGACCCAGGCACGCACUUCCUCUUGCCAAAGAACGACUGCCCACAUUUCUGGUGGGAAAAUUCAAGCGGCUGGAACAGCAUGUGCCCUAAGCCAAACACUAGAUACGAUUGUAUUGGCAGCAGUGCAGUGAUGCCAUGCAGCCUGAGCCUGUCUUCCUCCAGGAGAAAUCCCAUGUCAGCCUGACCCACCGGCUGGCUAUCCUGACCCCUUCCUUCCCUCCCUCCUUCCUCCCCCACUGAGGCACAGGCCAUCAGGACACCAAGGCUCCCUUUUGGUGCAUCCCAAAGUUGUCCUUCCCUGCCCACAGACUGCCCACACAGUCCCUGCUCUGUCAACAUGUCCCAGCCUGACCCGGCCAUGACGGGCAGUUGAUGCUUGCGGCAAGAGUGGCUGCAUUACAGCCACAGUUGUUUGAGUCAGCUGAGGGUUUAAUCCCUCUGGUUUGCAGUCAAGCAUGGCAGCUCCGCUGCAUGCCUGUUUUGCACCAUGAACACCCGUUUUCCACAGAGCUGCCUGAGCCAUGAGCUGCACAACACCUGUUUCUGCCUGCUGCCCUGCUCCCCAGCCUCCCUGACAGCCUCCUGCCUGGAAACAACAACGGCCCCACUGCAGCCUGUGUGCCACAGUGGGGAAUGGCAGACCAAGGACAUGCAGGAGCCAAAAUCAGGACCUUGGUGAACGUAGAGAGGAUGGGAGCAGGGAGGGAGAGCUGCUCUGAGGAGUGCCUGACCUUCCUUGGGCUUACAUGAAGGACUGAUGUAGUGUUUGCAGUGUGUCGAUCAGCUCCCCAGGGAGUUCGGGCAGUUGCAGCUGGGCAUGGGAGCUCAGUGCACAGAGUAUCCCAUGGGGAUGUUGCAUCUAUACCCAUAUUUGUGGGGUUUGUUUGUAAAGGGCUGAGCUGUGUAGCCAGCAAACAUCUCUCCCUUCACGCAGUGGAGUGACCUUCCAUGCCAACAGCAGUUACACUCAGUCUUCUGUUAUCCAUUGGUCAUACCCUGAACAUGGGGCUGUAACACCCAGCAUACAGCAGUGGCCACCUGCCUUCCCUGUAGAGGGCUGCCUGUUGGCCAGAGGAGGGAGAUUGUGGCUCUGACAGAAAUGCGCCUGCUAGCUCACUCAGCAUUCAGGCCUGUGGGCUUACUUCCAUCCUGACCACUCGUGCCUAACUUCAUUUGAAGGGUAUCUGUGGCCCAAAGAAAGGAGUGCAGAGCAGCCUUCCUCCUAAGGACACGAUGCCUAAGGAAUACACUGUGAAAUCUGGCCUUGUGAGCAUUUCCAGGUCCAGAAAUCACACCUGUGGGCCAGCCUCUCCCCUCUCUUUAACUUGCCAGACCCCAGAAACCAGCAGGUGCUUGAGUCUGCUCCUCUCACUUGAGCUUUAUGUACUUUCUUAGCAGCCUGAGAAACGGAAAAAAAAAGACCUUGAAAGACACUCUCUGCUGGCUGUGUGAGCAGCACUGUUUGCAGACAGGGUCCAGUCCAAUCCUAAGUACUCUCCACAAAAUUGUAGAAACUGCUAUCAAUGAACUUGGUUUUUUUGAUCAGGAAACUCGGAGAACAUAUAUCCAAGUUUAUUUCAGCAUUUCAAAAGUCUCUCCCAUCCCCAAAACUGAGGCCAUCCUAAUUGCUUUAUGAAGGCCUGUUUUAUAUUUCUGAGGUCUUCAUGUUGACUUCACUGAAAUCUGGAUCAAGCUCUGAACUCUUUAAAGUUAGCAUCUCAUCUGUACAUUAUUUACAAGCAGAAUGUGAUGCAUCACAUUGGCCCAUCAUAGAAAGUACAGAUUAAUAUUCAAGUGCAGGAUGAGUGUUUUCAUUGGCAAGGCAACUAACAUGGAGACUUCUUAUAAAAAGCGGUUGCUAGUUCUUCAGGAGUUGUAAUAUUUCUUUUUUGAUUAGCUAGAUAAUGUCAACUUCAAGUGCUGCUUUCUGUAUUUCCUACCACAUCUACAGAUUCAGAGAACUAAAUCAUAAAUGUUUUUGCUUCCAAAUGAUUAACUGUUCAAAUAAAGCACUGUCAUGUUGCUCCACUUUUAACAUUGGUGCUGUGAAUUAACCUGGAGACAUUGCAAUGAACAUUUAUCCCAUUUUAGCUUAACACACGUGACACUUUGCUUCAGUCCUCUAGAUUUGGCUUGCUCCUUGCUGCUUCUCUCUGCUUUUUGCAGAGAAACUGGGGCUUUCUUUCAUGUCUUGCUGUUUAGAGUGCUAGGCACAUGCCUAAAAAAAUAAUUUGCACUUUUUCCUUCUUCUUUUUAAGGCUCUUGCUUUGGCAUUUUUCAGUCACGCCUUGGAGAGACACCCGAAAGGAAAGAAAACAGUACCUGGAUGUUAGCUUGUGCAAUGUUUCUAAUUAAACCUUUCAUAAUGACAAAAA